GAAUGAACGCUUAGCGAUUAGCCCUAACACCAUGCCAAGUCGGAGGGGCCUCCACAUGAAGUAAGCAAUUACGGGAUGGGUGGGCGACCGGCGGGCACCGGGGUGGAGUUAACGGGUAAUGCAACCUGCCUAACAACCAGGGGGAUAAACCCGUUGAAAGACGGACUAAUACCCCAUAACACAGGGGUCCCGCAUGGGAAUAUUUGUUAAAGAUUUAUCGGUUGUAGAUGGGCAUGCGUUCCAUUAGCUAGUUGGCGAGGUAAGGGCUCACCAAGGCAACGAUGGAUAGGGGAACUGAGAGGUUUAUCCCCCACACUGGUACUGAGACACGGACCAGACUCCUACGGGAGGCAGCAGUGAGGAAUAUUGGUCAAUGGACGCAAGUCUGAACCAGCCACGUCGCGUGAAGGAAGACGGCCCUACGGGUUGUAAACUUCUUUUGUAAGGGAAUAAAGUGAGUCACGUGUGACUUUUUGCAUGUACCUUACGAAUAAGGAUCGGCUAACUCCGUGCCAGCAGCCGCGGUAAUACGGAGGAUGCGAGCGUUAUCCGGAUUUAUUGGGUUUAAAGGGUGCGCAGGCGGGAUGUUAAGUCGGCGGUGAAAUUUUGCAGCUCAACUGUAAAAGUGCCUUCGAUACUGGCUUUCUUGAGUGUGGAUGAAGUAGGCGGAAUUUGUGGUGUAGCGGUGAAAUGCAUAGAUAUCACAAAGAACACCGAUUGCGCAGGCAGCUUACUAAACCAUAACUGACGCUCAUGCACGAAGGCGUGGGGAUCAAACA
rnacentral:rRNA from 1 species